UUAAAUCAUUAUGAUAAUGGCGAAUCUAUUUAGAAUAUACAAUUUAUCGUAUUGAUAAUGCCGACUUGGUCUAUUUAGAAUAGAAAUUUCCUUUUUCUGGAUUUCUAGAUAUUUUUAAAUCUUUAAAAUUGUUAAAAGCCCUAUAUUCUCCACUGCCUCUCAGCUCCUAUAAAUACCUUGAUAGGGGUUUUCGUCCCAACUCAUAUUAAUCUAUAGCGUUUUAAACUGUUACAAUAGUUUUAUAUGAGUUUUAAUGGUUUUUAUUUAUGAUUGUAGGUGGAUGCAUGUAAGCUACGUUAUGAACCGAUCGAUGCAUGAAAAUUUGGAUCCUAUUUCGACCGAUAAAUUGGUGGAUGCAUGGAAGCUACGUUGUGAACCGAUCGAUGCAUGAAAAUUUGGAUCCUAUUUCGGCCGAUAAAUUGAUUUAAUUGGCGACGUGAAACGAUGCAUAAUAAUUUGGAAUAGGUCAAC